UCUUUACAAAAUUCAAAAUUCUACUGUCAGUAAAUUCUAAAAUGUAGGCUCAAUAAAUUUCUCAAUCCAUAGUUGGAGUAAAAAUUAAUAGCGUGAUGAUAGAGUGCAACAAAAUGAAUCAACACGGACAGGAGACACAGGUGGAUCUUUUCUGGGACAAAGUCAAGAAUUGGUGGCGCAACCUGAAAUGGCAUGCUGGAUGUGGAUAGCUACUUAUGCUUUGAUCACAGUCGCGAUCCUCGCCUGGCACGACGACCUGAGGUUGGAAGCCCUUGAUGAGUUCUCGUCAAAUUUCAAGAGUCUGGUGGAUGAACUGGCUCUGUACUUCGAACCCGUGGGCUUCCCCAUCGAGCUGGUCGCGAGGUUGUGUAUGGAAAAAUUGCCGAAAUUGAAUCAAUGAUUGCCCUUACAUCCUUGUUGCUCAAUGCCAUAUGAGUGGGCUGAUCGUAGAUCCACAGAUGGGUCCAUCGAGCGGAGCUUGGGAGCAAUCGACGGGGCAGUUCUCCCUAUGAGCACUGAUAUUGUUGCACGCUCCCAAGUGGGACAGUCCGAUGCCGACCCUAAAACAUACGGAGAUCAGAUAGAUAUUAAAUCAGAAGAAACCAAAGAAUUGGCAGAAAAUACAGAAGUAGCUGAGACCAUAAUCAAAACUUAUCAAGUAACAGACGAUGCAGAUGAUGCUAGGAAAAAUAAACUGAUUAAUGAUGAUGAAGACGAUGAAAUUGAUUCAGUGACAUGUGACUGCUAUUGAAGUAAAAUAAAUUUCAUUUAAUCUGCA
rnacentral:lncRNA from 1 species